rnacentral:rRNA from 1 species
UACGUAGGGGGCGAGCGUUGUCCGGAUUUACUGGGCGUAAAGCGCGUGUAGGCGGCGCCUUAAGUCAGGUGUGAAAGCCCGGGGCUCAACCCCGGAGUGCCGCCUGAAACUGGGGUGCUUGAGGACGGAAGAGGGGAGUGGAAUUCCUGGUGUAGCGGUGAAAUGCGUAGGAUAUCAGGAGGAACACCCGUGGCGAAGGCGGCUCCCUGGUCCGUUACUGACGCUGAGACGCGAAAGCGCGGGGAGCGAACGGG